rnacentral:rRNA from 1 species
AGGACGAACGCUGGCGGCGUGCUUAACACAUGCAAGUCGAACGGAAAGGCCCGCUUGCGGGUACUCGAGUGGCGAACGGGUGAGUAACACGUGGGCAACCUGCCCUCAGCUUCGGGAUAACACUUGGAAACAGGUGCUAAUACCGGAUAAUAACUUUUCAUCGCAUGGUGGAUGGUUCAAAGUUUUUCGGCUGAGGAUGGGCCCGCGGCCUAUCAGCUUGUUGGUGGGGUAAUGGCCUACCAAGGCGACGACGGGUAGCCGGCCUGAGAGGGCGACCGGCCACACUGGGACUGAGACACGGCCCAGACUCCUACGGGAGGCAGCAGUGGGGAAUAUUGCGCAAUGGGCGGAAGCCUGACGCAGCGACGCCGCGUGAGGGAUGACGGCCUUCGGGUUGUAAACCGUCUUUCAGCUCUGACGAAGCGCAAGUGACGGUAGGAGCAGAAGAAGCACCGGCCAACUACGUGCCAGCAGCCGCGGUAA